CAGCAUCCCCAAGGACUCUAGGUAAGCAAGUCCACACUAAUGAUGUCAUUCGGUUAAAUGUCUGUCAUCACUUCUGAUGACAAUGGUAGAUGCUUGGUGCCAAAAUUCUGUUGAAAGAUAUUGAUUAAUGUCAUCAGCAGGACUGUUCCCCAGACAGCUCCAGGAUGAGGAGCGGUGAGCAGGGCCCCUAUCAUGCCCUGUGUAAAACUCUGUCAAGCCCCUAGCGUAAUGGGGACCACUAAUCAGAGGGAUGCUCGCGGCAGGAUAGCAGGAUGGAGCUGGCAGGUUUCAUCGCUUCCCCAGCAUGGGGCUGCGCUAUGGUCUUGCAAGCUUGUGUGUUGAGGCAGAAAUUUGCGAGCAAUCCAACAGAAAGACACUCUGAGCCUGACCUUGAGAAACAACAGGCAGAAGCCAGGCAGGGAGCUCACUGGAGCCAGAGAAAUCCUGACUGCUGAGCCUACUGCCUGCCAGUGUUGUCUUCAGAGCCUGCAGGACUUUGGGCACAUUUUCUGGGGUCUUCUUGACUAUAGUCUUCAAAUUUUUCUGGUGGUGCCUUGAACUAUAAUUCUGGCUGUCAUAAUGAUGCCCCAGGCUCUUGCAGUGUAGAAGACAAGAACACUGUUGAUCUCCAUGCCAAAGGGGUGGCUUCCUUGCUUAUAACAACUCAUUCCAGAAGUUAAGCAGGGCUCAUUACCAUGGGACCAGUGUAGAUCAUUCCAUCUUCUGUAGACUGUCCAUGGAGCUGGCUUGAGAAGCCUGUACCAGAGUCACCUGUGUUGUCCCCUUCAGAAAAGCCACUGAGGUGCUAAGAGGCACUGGGGGUGCCAUGCAGUAGGCACAUCUGGUCUGUCAUAGUUAAUGCUGCAUUCAGACCCUUAGGCCAUGUGAAUCCAUGAUGAUGUCUUGAAGAGCUGCUUGGAUACCUUUGCUUCAGCCCCUGCAUCUACCCUGAUCAUUUGCUCUCCAUUUCCCGUGCCAGGGUAAUACCUCCUGGCUGGGAUGGUAAUGCAGCCAUGCAGAUUCAUUAAAUGUCUGUGGGGUGAGGAUGCUACACCCAUAGCCUCUACAUGUCCACUGUCUGAGAGACUGCAUGAUCCCACUUGAUGAAAGAGACGUGACAAACAGAUGAGCAGGAGCAAGGAGGUGGAGAUAAGAACACCGUGCAGAGGCGUCCAAAAGCCCAGAAGAAAAGGCGUGAAGGAGUCAUACUGCAACACGUUCAGCAGCAAACUGGUACACUGAAUAAGGAGGGGACUGGGUCUGCAGGAUUGCUGUGUCUGUCAAAAGUCUUUCCUCUUGGUUCUUGAACUAUUGUUUCAUGAUUAAGGCAUCCAGAGCCCUCAGGCAAGUUUAGGACUGUGAU